AGAAAAGCAUACAAAUAAAACUUACACCUUAAUAUUCUCUCAUUUUGUUUCAUCUCUAGGCCUGUGAAAAGGUUGGAAUGCAAAUUCCUCGCUUUUGCUAUCAUGACAGAUUGUCUGUGGCUGGAAAUUGCAGGAUGUGUCUUGUGGAGAUAGAGAAAGCCCCCAAGCCGGUUGCUGCUUUU